GGAAAUGGCUUCCCCAAGAUGGCAGUGUGUGCGACAUCCACACUUACUUCCUCUGGUUGUCUGUGAGUGUGAUUCCCUGUGCUGACACCUUAAAGUGGACAACAGUCGAGGCUGACGGAGGGUCCAUGGCGAGUGUCAGCGUGGUCGCUUUCUGAACUGCCUGGUGUCCCGUGAGAGACUCCAGUUCCACAGAGCCAAGGUCAACUCUUCCUGCUUCCUGCUAAGUUGCAACUCGGUGUCCAGUGUAAACAAAGCCAAAGUAAUGGCCAAUAGUUUUCAGAAACCUGACAGUAAUGUCAAUAUUUUCUUCUUUGAAUACCGAAGCCAUCCGUUCCACACUUGGGCGGAAGGCACGGUAGACUCUGGACAAGUCGCCACCUCAUCACAGGGCCAACACAGAUAGACAGACAACAUUCACACUCACAUUCAUUCACUAGGACCAAUUUAGUGUUGCCAAUCAACCUAUCCCCAGGUGCAUGUCUUUGGAGGUGGGAGGAAUCCGGAGUACCCGGAAGGAACCCACGCUGUCAUGGGGAAAACAUGCAAACUCCACACAAAAAGCUUGAGAAUGGAACUCAGGACCUUCUCGCUGUGAGGCACGAGCGCUAACCACUGCGGCACUUUGCUGCCAAUGAAUGCUGAACCCACGCGGGUACUUAUUUUUAACUGGUAUUAGCAGUUUUCUCCAAAAAUAAAUGAUUUUAUUGACCAAAAACCAUAUGAGUUUGAAAUAUUCGCAGCAUCAAGCAUGUGGUGAGUUAAUAUUAGACAAUAAGGUUGAGGGAAUAUGAUACAAACUGGCAAACAAAAUA